rnacentral:lncRNA from 10 species
GUGUGUGUGUGUAAGAGAGCGAGCGAGAGAGACGCCAGCCGUUGUGAUGAUGUUAACAUUCUCUGGGUCUACACCAGUGGCCCUUUCUGCCUGCAUUUUUAUUACAACAUAGUCCUAACACUGCAUUUCACUGUCAGGCACCUCCGUCCACUCCACUCCUGCGCACUCCUCCCGGCUGUGUCUCCUGUCUUUUUUGGGUCCCUUUUGGAAAUGUGGGCUCCUCAGAGUAUUUGGAGCCACCUUCCCCCCAACACCUCCACCUCUAGGGGCCUGGUCCUUUGGGAGUGGGCAGGGGGCCUAUGAAAAGCACCUAGCACCCACGGAAGACAAUGACAUCAUGUGGGGCCAAGUCCGAUGUCCUCCAUCACACACUAUUGCCCAGCUUCCAUGGGCCUUGCAAGUUUAAGGGGAAAAAAAAUGGGAAGCCAUUUCUGAGAAAGGAGUGUGGUGCGCUUCUGAUUGUGCGGCACUGUCGAGCGUGUUC